rnacentral:misc_RNA from 1 species
GAUGAAGAACGUAGUGAAAUGCGAUAAGUAAUGUGAAUUGCAGAAUUCAGUGAAUCAUCGAAUCUUUGAACGCACAUUGCGCCCGUUAGCAUUCUAGCGGGCAUGCCUGUCCGAGCGUCAUUUCAACCCUCAGGGUCCCCGUCCGGCGGGGAACCUGGUGUUGGGGAUCGGCCCGCCCCGCGCGGCGCCGUCCCCCAAAUUCAGUGGCGGUCUCGCUGCAGCCUCCCCUGCGUAGUAGUUACAACCUCGCAUCGGAGCUCAGCGCGGCCACGCCGUAAAACCCCCGACUUUCUGAACGUUGACCUCGGAUCAGGUAGGAAUACCCGCUGAACUUAAGCAUAUCAAUAAGCGGAGGA